rnacentral:rRNA from 1 species
GACGAACGCUGGCGGCGUGCCUAAUACAUGCAAGUUGAGCGCUGAAGGUUGGUACUUGUACCGACUGGAUGAGCAGCGAACGGGUGAGUAACGCGUGGGGAAUCUGCCUUUGAGCGGGGGACAACAUUUGGAAACGAAUGCUAAUACCGCAUAAAAACUUUAAACACAAGUUUUAAGUUUGAAAGAUGCAAUUGCAUCACUCAAAGAUGAUCCCGCGUUGUAUUAGCUAGUUGGUGAGGUAAAGGCUCACCAAGGCGAUGAUACAUAGCCGACCUGAGAGGGUGAUCGGCCACAUUGGGACUGAGACACGGCCCAAACUCCUACGGGAGGCAGCAGUAGGGAAUCUUCGGCAAUGGACGAAAGUCUGACCGAGCAACGCCGCGGGAGUGAAGAAGGUUUUCGGAUCGGAAAACUCUGUUGGUAGAGAAGAACGUUGGUGAGAGUGGAAAGCUCAUCAAGUGACGGUAACUACCCAGAAAGGGACGGCUAACUACGUG